rnacentral:rRNA from 1 species
UACGUAGGGGGCAAGCGUUGUCCGGAAUCAUUGGGCGUAAAGAGCGUGUAGGCGGUCCGGUAAGUCGGGUGUGAAAGUCCAGGGCUCAACCCUGGAAUGCCGGUGGAUACUGCCGGGCUAGAGUCCGGAAGAGGCGAGUGGAAUUCCUGGUGUAGCGGUGAAAUGCGCAGAUAUCGGGAGGAAUACCAGUGGCGAAGGCGGCUCACUGGCCCGAUACUGACGCUGAGGUGCGAAAGCGUGGGGAGCAAACAGG